rnacentral:lncRNA from 1 species
CAACCUGAAGGCAAGGCUUCAGAGUAAUCUUCCUUCCUUCCUUCAGAGUUCAGGUCUGCUCAAAUUUGUUUCGGAUACAAAAGUCAACUUGGUUCCUGAUUUUUCACGCUCAUCAUACGAGCAACAUGCAGCAAGGAUCAUUGGCCGGCUCAUGAUGCUCUCGCGCAAGCUUGUCAAAAAUGAGAAUCUCAGCCAUACUGCACAUUACUGUCAUCGUCUCAAGGAUGACGCAGGCCUGCUUGUGAGGUGGACCCCGUUCUCAGCCAGCUUGUAGUUGAGCAGGCGCGUGUGCUGCAUGCGCCCACUGCUUCCAGGUAGGUGGCUGCUAGGAGACUGAUCCAAACCAGGCGGCAGCGAUCUCUGCUUCACCACGAGCUGCAUGGAAACAGCAGAAAACAUCUUCUGAUGCUCUACUGUAACCUCUCAUUGGCAAAAAUACACCAAUUGACACAGACUAAAGCUCUCAGAAAAGACUUAGUUUCCAUAUGACACAUGCCAUUGAGUGACUGCAGUUGAGAUGCUGCUCCAUACAUGUGCACAAUUAAGGCUGUCUCACCUGGCCCGUGAUAUCCAUGGCCUGCCCUGCCUC